UUAACUCACUCCCCGAGCAGAGUCCCCAAACGCUUUCUCCCAAUUUCUGAGAUCUGCGCAAAACCCUAAACCCCAUUUGCGAUUUUGCUUCAAAUUCAGUCACAAUGUCGAUGUCGAAGAGUUCUAAGAUGCUUCAAUACAUCAAUUAUCGUAUGCGUGUUACUAUCCAGGAUGGCCGUCAAUUGAUCGGCAAGUUUAUGGCAUUUGAUCGACAUAUGAAUCUUGUACUCGGCGAUUGUGAAGAGUUUCGUAAGCUUCCUCCUACUAAAGGUUCUAAGGAAGAACGUGAAGAUCGCCGUACACUUGGUCUUCUUCUUCUCAGGGGUGAAGAAGUGAUUUCCAUGACUGUUGAAGGUCCUCCACCUCCGGAUGAUUCUCGUGUUAAAGCUACUGCUGGUGGUGUUUCUGCUGUUCCUGGACCCGGGUUGGGUCGGGCUGCGGGUCGGGGUGUUCCGACUGGUCCGAUGGUUCAUGCUCAGCCGGGUCUUGCUGGUCCUGUUCGUGGUGUUGGUGGACCUGCACCGGGAAUGAUGCAGCCGCAGAUUUCUCGUCCGCCGAUUAAUUACCCGCAGCAGCCUCCUCCUAUGGUUCGACCACCUGGUGGUGGGCCUCCACCUCCAAUGCAAAUGCAAAUGCAAAGACCUGGUGGCCCACCUAUGCCUCCGCCGCCACAGUUCAGGCCUGGUGGUCCUGGACCGUUUCCGCCUCAGUUUGGUCAGAGGCCCAUGGGACCACCACCUCCACAGAUGAUGAGAGGUCCUCCACCACCAGGGUCGCAGCCACCAAGACCUGGAAUGCCUGGUGGGCCACCUCAUCCGGGGAUGCCUCCACCUCCUGGUGGGCAAAUUCCAGUCUUUGGACCUCCUCGCCCGGGAAUGCCACCUCCUCCAAAUGCACCUCACCAGCAGAAUCAGCAGCAGUAGAAUCAAUGGUGCGCUGUUAUGAUGUUGUCUCUUGAUGGAUCUGGAAGGUGUGGAUGGAAAUUGCUCUGGUUUUGAAUAUAUAGUGAUAUAGGUUUUGGACAGACAGAGGGCAUGCUCUGUAAAGGUCAAGUAGUCAUUAGCUUCUCCUGCUUACCUCAAUGAUCGUUAUCUUAGGUCCUUUUUUCAGCACUCAGCUAAGGAUUUGGUGUUUGGGCGAUCAAACUAAGGCUAUAUUUGAUGGUGGUUGAGUGAUAUUUGCUUUCAAUUAGCUUGUAAUUGUGCAAGAUAGGAGACUUUAAACUAAUGUUCUUAGCAGUAUUUGUCAAACUUCCUGUCUUUUGAUUUUCAAUAUUGCUUUCUGCUAUGACUUAAUGAAGAUUUCAGUGGGUU